AUGAUACUGGAUUUGAAUAUUAAAGUGACUGCAUUUACCAGCUGCUUUUGUCUUCAAUUUUUAAUCUAUAAAAACACAGGAAAAUCAUUCGUAUUGGCUGCUUUUUUUGCUUGUAUUUAUGUUUUUAUUAUUAUUAUUAUUUUUUGCUCUAACAAGAAUUAAUCUAUAUUUAAUUAAAUUAAAUUUCUGCAUCUAAACACCUAUAAACCUAAAACAUGCUCUAUUAAACUAUUGUUAGCAAUUUCUUUAUCAUCCAGUUUAACUGGUGUACACACUUUUAUUUUCAUAAUAUUUUUUUUUUUUUUUAGAUAAUAGACAGUUACAGUGGUCUAUAAUAAAUAUUAACAGGUUUUUGUUCAAGCUGCUUAAAAAUGUUUGAAGUAGGCUCAUUUUUUUAAAUAUAAAUCCUAAAAAAAAAAAAAUAAAAAAAAUAAAAAACUGGGAAACAGCCAUGUUUACGAAAAGGUGCUUAACCUAUAGAAAAAUAAAACUAUGAAUUAAAUUAGUAUUUAAUUUUUAGUAAUGACCAUUUUUGUUGUCAUAAAAACCUUCUUCUUUACAAUACAGAAUAACGAUUGUCAAUAGUAAAUAUUAUGAAAAACAAUAACU
ensembl:lncRNA